rnacentral:rRNA from 2 species
AUUGNGAGGNNGGAAGUCGCGGCUUACCAUGGCAGUCGAACGAUGAACCGGUUUCGGCCGGGGAUUAGUGGCGAACGGGUGAGUACACGUGGGCAAUCUGCCCUGCACUCUGGGAUAAGCCCGGGAAACUGGGUCUAAUACCGGAUACGACACUCCGAGGCAUCUUGGGGUGUGGAAAGUUCCGGCGGUGCAGGAUGAGCCCGCGGCCUAUCAGCUUGUUGGUGGGGUAAUGGCCUACCAAGGCGACGACGGGUAGCCGGCCUGAGAGGGUGACCGGCCACACUGGGACUGAGACACGGCCCAGACUCCUACGGGAGGCAGCAGUGGGGAAUAUUGCACAAUGGGCGAAAGCCUGAUGCAGCGACGCCGCGUGAGGGAUGACGGCCUUCGGGUUGUAAACCUCUUUCAGCAGGGAAGAAGCGAAAGUGACGGUACCUGCAGAAGAAGCACCGGCUAACUACGUGCCAGCAGCCGCGGUAAUACGUAGGGUGCGAGCGUUGUCCGGAAUUAUUGGGCGUAAAGAGCUCGUAGGCGGUUUGUCGCGUCGAUUGUGAAAGCCCGGGGCUUAACCCUGGGUCUGCAGUCGAUACGGGCAGGCUAGAGUUCGGCAGGGGAGACUGGAAUUCCUGGUGUAGCGGUGAAAUGCGCAGAUAUCAGGAGGAACACCGGUGGCGAAGGCGGGUCUCUGGGCCGAUACUGACGCUGAGGAGCGAAAGCGUGGGGAGCGAACAGGAUUAGAUACCCUGGUAGUCCACGCCGUAAACGGUGGGCACUAGGUGUGGGCAACAUUCCACGUUGUCCGUGCCGCAGCUAACGCAUUAAGUGCCCCGCCCUGGGGAGUACGGCCGCAAGGCUAAAACUCAAAG